AUAAUACUCCAUAGAUUAGAGAAACUGGAAUGUUCUUUAAUCGAAAGUUCCGGCGCCAUAGGAUGGAUCUGCGGCCGAUUAGGUAGUUGUUGGGGUAACGGCCCAACAAGCCUGUAAUCGGUACGGGUUGUGGGAGCAAGAGCCCGGAGAUGGAAUCUGAGACACGAUUCCAGGCCCUACGGGGCGCAGCAGGCGCGAAAACUUUACAAUGCAGGAAACUGUGAUAAGGGAACCCCGAGUGCCCGUAUACGCGGGCUGUCCCGGUGUCUAAAACGCAUCUGAAGAAAGGGCCGGGCAAGACCGGUGCCAGCCGCCGCGGUAAUACCGGCGGCUCGAGUGGUGACCACUUUUAUUGGGCUUAAAGCGUUCGUAGCUGGACUCUUAAGUCUCUUGGGAAAUCCCGCGGCUUAACCGUGGGGCGUUUAAGAGAUACUGAGAGUCUAGGAACCGGGAGAGGUAAGAGGUACUUCGGGGGUAGAAGUGAAAUUCUGUAAUCCUCGAGGGACCACCGAUGGCGAAGGCAUCUUACCAGAACGGCUUCGACAGUGAGGAACGAAAGCUGGGGGAGCGAACGGGAUUAGAUACCCCGGGUAGUCCCAGCCGUAAACGAUGCGCGUUAGGUGU
rnacentral:rRNA from 1 species